AAAAAAGAAAAAUAUUUAUUGCUUUUGACAGUUUCACAAGGGGCAAAAAUCCUUGUCAUGGCUAAAGUUUCCACAGCUGUUGGAGGAAGGGUGGUCAUAUGGACUAAAACAGUUCAGCUCCUUUGUUAAGAGGCUGAGCACAAGGGCCAAGCUGUGAAAUUAAAGAUUAAGUUCAUUAAGGAAUUCAAGACUGCUUCCUGAUGUUGAAGAAGUCACCACAGCCUCUGACUCCCAGUAUCUGGUACAACUGAGAAACGACACUUUCACGAAAAAAAUGUGCAGUUUCCAGGAUGGUGACAUAGAUAUAACCGAAGCAGGGCAUUGCUUCCCUGGGCAUCCAUUUCCCCUCUACUGAUGAAGAUCCACAGGAAUAUGCUUCGAUCUCAGAGCUGUUUUCAUUACUGAGAGUUAUGAGGUAUCCAAAGAAUUUGACUGAAGAUCUCUACACAGCCUAAAAAGGCUGGAUUCUAAUCCAGAUGAGACAUUCUGAUAAAUAUGAUGUAACAACCAUAAAUCGGGGGAAGAAAUUGGAAGAACUGACUGCUGUUAGAUCAUUCCACUUGGCUGAGUGCAUUUGUUUGUUUAUUACUCAUAUUUGCAAGAUGCCAGGACCCCACUGCAUUGAAAAUGUGAGAUAGUCUUCUGUCAUUCGAAAAAAAAUCCCUAAAAACAUUUGCUUUAAAAUGUUACUGAUAACUGGGUUUGGAGUUUAGAAAUUUACUGGUGCAACUGUUUGUGAAGUAAUAGUACUAAAGAUGUCUGCAAAAUAUGGACUUGAGAUUGACUGGAGUCUGACGGAAUCAAUCCUGUUUAUUAUCUUAACUGUCGUAAACACAUGCUAAAUCUGUACUUGCUACUUAUUACCCUGGUUAAUGUUAGUGAAACAUCGGUGUCUAUGACAUGCUCCAGGAAGGCAGCAAGCUGUAAAUAUAUUCUGGUUAUAUUUGAUAACCAAGAGUCUUUGGGUACAAAAUUUGCACAUGAAUUCUAGAAUUCAAAUCAGGAUUUGGGAUUAUUUGUUCCGAUUUACUUAUGACCUUUAAAUAAGUGUUCUCCAGUCCACGUGUAAUAGCCAUUAGCCCAUAAAUGAUUAAAUGUUUAAAACCUAUAAGGAUUUGAAAACAUUCAACACCUUUUAGAGUGUGCUCAGCCUUUAGCUGAAUCAGAUUAUUGAAGUAGGAAAAUACAUCUUCUUUAUGCGGUGUUUCUUUGGGAAUAUCACUUUUCAGAGAAAUCUCAUUGCAGUUUACCAAAACUGGGGAUGGAGACAGGUAAUUUAAUAACUUAAAUUAAGAAUUAUUUGAUCUAUCUUGUCCUUUCAAGACACACAUAUUGUUUUGGUGUAAAAGAAAAUACUGUAUAGCCAAUCUAGAUAAAUGUUGAGGUUCUUCUAUGUCAAGAAAGGGCUGUCAGAGGUCCUCAGCAUGUGCCAAGAUCACAUCUCAUAUCCACAGAAAAAAAGCGUUACUUAAGCAACGUUACAAAUGUACAUGAAAUGCAACAAGUCACCAGUUUGCAGUGUAAUCCAUUUGUACAUAAACACAUAAAACAGAAACAACAAAAAGACUGACAGAUUUAUAAUUUUUGUAGAAUAAAAUAAAUAAGAUUAUGCACAGCAGAAUCUAUACAUAUAAGCAAUUAUAUCUCACUUCCUGGUUAUGUAUAUAUGAAGAAAAAUCCUUGUAAAUAUCCAUUGUAUAUUCUUGGAAUUCCUGGCCAAGUAGAAGGUUACAGUAGAACACAAAAUCAUCUUCCUGUCUGAAGUACUGUCACAAUGGAACAGAUUGGAAAAAAAAUUAUUUUGGGUAAAGCAGUUGCACCCUGCUGCACACACGGAUGUCUCCUAAAGCCAUCAAAAUAGUAUCUGAGUAUGUAAUCAUAGCUGAAACAGUAAGGAAUCCUCUUUUCUGCAACAACCAAACAGUACAUUGAGCCCACAAAGACACAACCAACAGUGUCACUCAGCCAAAGUUAGAAAAAGAUUCUGCCUUAUGGCCUUUGAGAUAUUUUUUUCCCAUAUGUACAAGCAGGAAAUUUUAGACACAACCUUAGCAUACUAAAUAACUCCUGUAGGUAAGGUUAAAACUGCAAGCUUUGCAAGUUACUAGAAAUUCCAGAACAGGACCAAAGUGAUCUCAAAUUGUGUUUAAGUAUUUCUAGAUUUAUACAAUUGUUCGUCCUCUAGGUUUUUUUCCAAAUCUUCUCCUGUGCAAAGGAUGAUGGAUUUAGCCAUUCUUAAUGUAUUUACCAUGCUAAAAAGAUUUAAUUGCUUCAACCAAGUUAUGUGACUAUAUAUAUUUUAUUUAGAAUUACUAUAUAAUUCGUGUAUAAGCAUAAUUACUCUAUAACUUGUGUUUCUAACAGUAAAGCUCUGUUUUGAGGAAGGCAAAGUAACUUUCUUUUAAAGGCUUUAUCUUGCCCUAUGCACCAUAAAAUCAUCAAUGGGUGUUCAGUGCUGCGCAGGAAGUGCACAGUUGUUGACAGUAUCGUUGGUUCAAGGCUGAGUCAAAUCAAGGGGAAAGAGCUCCCAGUGACUUCACUGAGCUUCAAAUCAGACUCAGUCUCUUUGCAAGUGAUCCAAUAAGGUAAUGUGGUAUUAGUGAACCACUAGAAGUAUAAAACCCUUCUGUAACCACAGUUUGUCAGAUGGAGAAAGUAUCUGAAGAGUGAUCUACAGUCAUAAGGAAUAUCACUUUGGGUCAGGUUUUCGAGUUAUCGGUGACCCACAAAGUUUCUAUUUUUAAUGUCAAUUACCCAGCAAGAAUAUACUAGGAGAAUUAUGACAAUGUGCAACAUACUUUCCAACACUUUUAAUGCUUAGUGUUAAAUACAUGCUCUAGUUAUAUUUGGAAAAGAGGUAACUUAAAAACUAAUCUGGACUCAGAAGAAGCAUUUGAUACUGCCUUCUGACCUGCACCAAAUGCUGAUCCUGAGACACAGAAAGAAACAAUGCUCUCCAAACUGGUUGAGGAGGGUCAUGGUAUUUGAGAAAAAAGGUUUUCCCUGGAAAUAUUUUAGGUCAUAUUGAUUCUACUUGUCCUGAAGAGGUGCUGGUAUCCUGGCAGGGUAUUUGUUCAUAUAUAGCAUGUUAACAUUUGCUGUAGAAAGCUCUGUAAAGAAAUACUGUGAUAUGAAAUUAUAAGAAGACUUUGCCCAAGGAAUAUUUGUUUAUUAACUUUCCACCAGCAGCUUUCUGCUACGUAAAAGUGCCAAAGCUACUACACAUUUUGGUUUUGGAAUAUUUUUCUAUUGUUGUUGAAUAAAUUUGUCAUUUUGGUCAAUUUUGUUCAAAAAAAAAAAAAAAGCAAACACAGCUAGGAGAUAUAAGUAUGACUUUUCUAUCACCAUAUUUUCUUGCUUACGGAUCUAAUUUUAAUAUGAAGUGCUGAGAUUUAGUUGUUUUGCUUGUAAAGGUAAGCUGAACAUAUACUGCAUUGCAAGAAAUCUGUUGGUAUUUACUUCUGAUCACGGAAGUGAUUUGCUAUUUGUUUUCUCAAUGGUCAUUUUCUAGAAAGCACAUUAAAGUGCAAUUUAUCCAGUUUAGAAAAACACUAUAUAAUUUCUGUGUUUAGCAUUGUGUUCAUGGAUGUAGGACUCUUCUACAACAGAAUAUAGUAUUUACUGUACAGGCAACAUAUUUUCUACACUGCCAGGCUACCUGUAACUAAGAAAGAUGAUGAACUAUGAACAAUUCUACUGUACCCUAGCUUAUUAGUACAGUGCAGUUUUAUUUCAGAAUAAACCGGCUGGACUUGCAAAGCGUUACUUUGUUGAUUUGAGUGACCUCUUGCAGCCCAGUUUCUGAGCCUUAUCAGUUCUGGACAUUUACGAAGCAGGAUGAAUUAUUUGCCUAAACAGAUUCUAGGCCAGAUUUUCAGAAGCACAUUGCUAGAAACGUUGCUGUCUAGCCAAAGGGAAAGGGGAAAGUAUCUGCACUGGCUCAGGGACAAGACAGCAAUCAGAAUUGUUUGAAUGUUUUGAUGCACAGUAUGUACUUCUAAUAACUAAAUUACCCAUUAACAAAACCAAUUACCUACAGUGGUCCACUAUAACCUACCACUAGUGUUGGAAUUAUUUUGCCAUUAACAUAGGCAGAAACAAGCAUGAAUUAACACUCUAAGACAGACCAGA